AAAGGAAUCAAGCCGGAUAGCACCAAA
rnacentral:sRNA from 1 species